rnacentral:rRNA from 1 species
GGCUCAGUAACACGUGGCUAACCUACCCUCGGGUGGGGGAUAACCUCGGGAAACUGAGGAUAAUACCCCAUAGGAGAAGAGGUCUGGAAUGAUCCUUCUCUGAAAACAUAUGUGCCCGAGGAUGGGGCUGCGUCUGAUUAGGUAGUUGGUGGGGUAACGGCCCACCAAGCCUACGAUCAGUACGGGCCUUGAGAGAGGCAGCCCGGAGAUGGGGACUGAGACACGGCCCCAGGCCCUACGGGGCGCAGCAGGCGCGAAACCUCCGCAAUGCACGAAAGUGCGACGGGGGGACCCCAAGUGCUUACGCACUGCGUAGGCUUUUCUAAAGUGUAAAAAGCUUUAGGAAUAAGGGCUGGGCAAGUCCGGUGCCAGCAGCCGCGGUAACACCGGCGGCCCGAGUGGUGACCACUUUUAUUGGGCCUAAAGCGUCCGUAGCCGGUCCAGUAAGUCCCUGUUUAAAUCCUACGGCUUAACCGUAGGGCUGGCAGGGAUACUGCUGGACUUGGGACCGGGAGAGGGCGAGGGUACUUCAGGGGUAGCGGUGAAAUGUGUUGAUCCCUGGAGGACCACCUAUGGCGAAGGCACUCGCCUGGAACGGGU